rnacentral:rRNA from 1 species
AUGAUUAGAGGCCCAGUGACUUGCAAGAAAUGUGGUGAAAAGGGUCAUAGGCAAGCUAGUUACAAGUGCCCACUGAAUGGAACCAAAAAGAGGCAAGUGAAGAGGAAGCCUAGAAAGAACGUUACAAAAGCUAGGCCAACUGAACCUAGCACUCCGCAAAGGCCAACUAGAGAACAAAUACUACAAGACAGCCCAGGCAUGGUCACUAGAAGGUAA